AUUGAACGCUGGCGGCAGGCUUAACACAUGCAAGUCGAACGAGUGGAGGACGGGUGAGUAAUGCUUGGGAAUCUAGCUUAUGGAGGGGGAUAACUACGGGAAACUGUAGCUAAUACCGCGUACCAUAGGAUGCGCCCAAGUGGGAUUAGGUAUUGGGUGAGGUAAAGGCGCACCAAGCCGACGAUCUCUAGCUGGUCUGAGAAGAUGACCAGCCACACGGGGACGGAGACACGGCCCAGACUCCUACGGGAGGCAGCAGUAGGGAAUAUUGCGCAAUGGACGCAACCCGGACGCAGCCAUGCCGCGUGAGUGAAGAAGGGCUUAGGAUUGUAAAGUACUUUCGGCGGGGAGGCGUUACCCGCAGAAGAAGCACCGGCUAACUCCGUGCCAGCAGCCGCGGUAAUUC
rnacentral:rRNA from 1 species